rnacentral:rRNA from 1 species
GUUUCCUACGGGAGGCAGCAGUGGGGAAUAUUGGACAAUGGGGGAAACCCUGAUCCAGCGACGCCGCGUGAGUGAAGAAGUAUUUCGGUAUGUAAACCUCUUUUGUCGGGGAACAAAGGCGCCCACGGGUGGGCGGAUGAGUGUACCCGAAGAAAAAGCAUCGGCUAACUCCGUGCCAGCAGCCGCGGUAAUACGGAGGAUGCGAGCGUUAUCCGGAUUUAUUGGGUUUAAAGGGUGCGUAGGCGGACAGUCAAGUCAGCGGUAAAAAUGCGGUGCUCAACGCCGUACAGCCGUUGAAACUGGCA